CCUUCGAUAGCUCAGCUGGUAGAGCGGAGGACUGUAGAGGGCUUCCUAGAGUCAGUCAUCCUUAGGUCGCUGGUUCGAUUCCGGCUCGAAGGA
rnacentral:tRNA from 1 species